rnacentral:rRNA from 1 species
UGAAGCGGCAAAAGCUCAAAUUUGAAAUCUGGUACCUUCGGUGCCCGAGUUGUAAUUUGGAGAGGGCAACUUUGGGGCCGUUCCUUGUCUAUGUUCCUUGGAACAGGACGUCAUAGAGGGUGAGAAUCCCGUGUGGCGAGGAGUGCGGUUCUUUGUAAAGUGCCUUCGAAGAGUCGAGUUGUUUGGGAAUGCAGCUCUAAGUGGGUGGUAAAUUCCAUCUAAAGCUAAAUAUUGGCGAGAGACCGAUAGCGAACAAGUACAGUGAUGGAAAGAUGAAAAGAACUUUGAAAAGAGAGUGAAAAAGUACGUGAAAUUGUUGAAAGGGAAGGGCAUUUGAUCAGACAUGGUGUUUUGUGCCCUCUGCUCCUUGUGGGUAGGGGAAUCUCGCAUUUCACUGGGCCAGCAUCAGUUUUGGUGGCAGGAUAAAUCCAUAGGAAUGUAGCUUGCCUCGGUAAGUAUUAUAGCCUGUGGGAAUACUGCCAGCUGGGACUGAGGACUGCGACGUAAGUCAAGGAUGCUGGCAUAAUGGUUAUAUGCCGCCCGUCUG